AACACAUCAAGCACAGACUUGCACUGCUCCUGUGAUUCUGUCAGGUAGGUGGUAUGUGUCAAAGUAACAUCCACAUGAAUGUCAGGACCUAAGGGUCCCCAGCAGAACAUUAUCCAGAGAAUCACACUUCCUCCACCAGCGUGUCUUCCCAUAGUGCAUCUUGGUGCCAUCUCUUGACCAGGUGCUAGCCCCACAUCCCUCAAGACCUGCCAUUUUGGAGCUGCUCUGACCCAGGCAUCUAGCCAUCACAAUUUGGGCCUUGUCAAAGUCACUCUGAACCUUACACUUGGAUAGGAAUCACCUGUAUUGUUUGCUGCUUUUGACAGCCAAGGUGGUCAAGGCCCACUUCAAAAGAGAGACGGUAGAAACAUCUCCCAUCAGUUUAUAUAUAUAGAAUAUAUUAGUCAUAUCUGUUUCUAACAUUCAAGCACAUAAUAACAGCUGACAGAAAAAUAAAACAGUAAGGUGUUGGGCCCCCAGAAACCAAGAGAACAGCUUCCUUGCACCUUGGAUUAGAUUCCACAAGUCUCUGGAACAGUACUGGAGGGAUGAAAACUGUUCUUCCAAAAAAUUCCUUCACUUGUUGUUUUGAUUUUGGUGGUGGAGAGCAAUGUCUAACAGGCCAGUCCAAAAUCUUGAUAUGUGAUCAACUGGGUUGAGCUAUGGUGACUGCAAAGGCCUUGGCAUAUAAUUUACAUAAUUUUCAUUCUUAUCAGACCAUUCAAUGAGCCCUCAUAUCCUGUGGAUGGGGACAUUGUCAUCUUGGUAGAAACCACUCCCAUCAGGAUAGAAAUGCUUUAUCAUAGGAUACAGGUUAUCAGUCAGAAUAACUUUGUAUUGAUUUCCUGUUGUUCCUUCCCUUUAAGGAGUAAAAUGUACUCAAAUCAUGCAGGCAGAAUCGGUUGGAUAUGCUUAUUGGGUUUUUAAAGUAUGUAUAACAUGGAAUUAUGUAGCCAUCUUGAUGCUGUAGAGACCGCACAGCCUGGCAGUGGAUAUACUGAUCCCCAUGAGUGAGUAAGAGAAUGUAAUUCACUAGCACCUGAUUGAUAAUGGAGAAUGUAUCAACCUGCCAAAAAAUCCAUUGCAAGCUAUUUUUAAGCUAUGGAAAUGGCAAAGCAGUUUGAUUUGAGAUUACAUUUUUGAGAUGUAAGAAUUUGUAUCCCAUUUCCAUGUGUUUGACAUGAUAUUUAAUUUUUUUAUUAAAUAACAUACUCGUGUUACUGAGGCAGACAUAUUUUCUUCUGAAAUAUCGAGUAUUAACUGAACACAGCAAAAUAAACAUAACAUAACAGUAUUUAAACUGCAUUGUUUACAAAUAAUUUCAAAUGGCUACUUUACUCCAGUAAACAGGACGAACCAUUACUAGUAGAUGAUCUGUCAAUACGGUAUUGACACUGAUAGCCCAGCUAUAGCAAACUUCUCAAGGUUGAUGCGGUGAUAAUUUGAGUUUGUGUGUGUGUGUGUGUGUGUGUGUGUGUGUGUGUGUGUGUGUGUGUGUGUGAGUGUGUGGCACCACACUGGGCUCAGAAAGCAUGCUUAUUGUCAUCGACUCCAUGACAACCUUGCCUAGGCACUCAGAAGAUGGGUGGGGGAGGUGUGUGGGGAUUAGUUACAAACAGAUGGUAUUACCACAGAACACGCCAGACUAAGUUCCUUCAUUUCACUGUGAUGGCCUGAAUGAAGGAAUGUAUAGAUGUAGAUGCAUUGCAUAUUAUUGAUCAUAUUUCACACUAUACUUGGCCCCCCCAGACAGCUCAUUCAAACCCUUUCAGAUGAUUCAGAAUGCAACAGCAUGCCUUGUUUUCAACCAGCCCAAAUGGACCCAUGUUACACCUCUCUUCAUUUCCCUUCACUGGCCUUCUGUAGCUGCUCCCAUCAAAUUCAAAGCCUUGAUGCUCAUGUACAAGUGAGCCGAGGGGGGCGGGGGGCGGGUUUACUUUUAAUUUUGUUUUCCUUUGUUAGUAUAAAAAUAAAAAAAAAAACCUGCGAAUGUUUACUGCU